rnacentral:rRNA from 1 species
AGAAUCAACGCUGGCGGCGUGCCUAACACAUGCAAGUCGAACGAGAAAGCGGAGCAAUCCAUGAGUAAAGUGGCGCACGGGUGAGUAACACGUGACUAACCUACCCUUGAGUGGGGGAUAACCUAGGGAAACCUGGGCUAAUACCGCAUAAUACCUUCGGGUCAAAGGAGCAAUUCGCUUAAGGAGGGGGUCGCGGCCGAUUAGUUAGUUGGCGGGGUAAUGGCCCACCAAGACUGUGAUCGGUAUCCGGCCUGAGAGGGCGCACGGACACACUGGAACUGAAACACGGUCCAGACUCCUACGGGAGGCAGCAGUGGGGAAUUUUGCGCAAUGGGGAAACCCUGACGCAGCAACGCCGCGUGGAGGAUGAAGUCCCUUGGGACGUAAACUCCUUUCGAUCGGGACGAUUAUGACGGUACCGGAAGAAGAAGCCCCGGCUAACUUCGUGCCAGCAGCCGC